AAACUGACUUAUUUAGUUAUAAGUGAACUUUUUGAGUUUAAACAAACAUGUGCCAAGAGAUAAUGCUUGAAAGUUCUAGUGAGCAGGAACCUCAGAUUUUCCACGCUGAUUUUAAGUCGAACAUAAUGUAUGGUUGCCCCCGAAGCAUCAAACGGGAAGAGAUAGAAUGGGCUGCAAAGCGGGCUUAUGUGCACGAAUUCAUCUCUUCUUUUCCCAGGGGUUAUGAUACUCCUAUUGAUAAUAAUCUAUUAAGUAGAGGGCAAAAGCAGCGCAUUGCUAUUGCAAGGGCAAUUCUUAGAGAUCCUACAAUUCUUGUUUUCGAUGAAGCUACCAGCGCUCUUGAUGCUGAGAAUGAACACUUAAUCAAGGAGAUACUUUAUUCUUUCAAGAAAGAAUUGAAUCGUACAGUAAUUAUAAUCGCACACAGGAUGUCUACCAUAAAAGAUGUUGACAGAAUUCUGGUAAUGGAUAGCGGACAAGUUGUUGAGCUUAUUUUUGGUUGGAAAGAUAGUCAUGAACUUCACUUAGAGGGGAUAUGAAGGAAAUGUUGGGAGGGUAGAAGUAGAGAGGAUCCUUAACCCUGCUGUCCAUUUUUCUACCGUCCAGGUUGGCUUCCCACGCCUUGUGGCCUUAAAGGAGUCAAACGGAUGGGUAAUCAUGUAGAGCUCCUUUGCAAGGAUGGACUAUAUGCUCGAUUAUUCAAAUUACAAAAUGACAUUCUAGAUUGAUCGACUAUAGGAAGAGACUCACCGACAAUAUGAUUCCUCUGUGCACAACACAGGUGCUGAUAUUGCUCGUCUUCACUAACAUGUCUAUUUUAACAAGUCUUACUGGCUCUCUCCGAGACAAUACCUAGAUAAUUAUACCUUUUGUGAUAUUGCACUAAACAUUGAGUACGGGCGUUAUUUUGGCUUAUCAGGGUAAGAUGUCUCUAGUAGAGUGAACAUAUGAAACAAAACUCCAUUUCCUCUAAAGGAUAGCUCUCUGGAUUUGUGUAUUCUUUUAUCCUUUAUGAGAUUAUAUCCUUUUUUGGUGGCCCCCUUCUUUUA